ACGUUAGCGGCGGACGGGUGAGUAACACGUGGGUAACCUACCUAUAAGACUGGGAUAACUUCGGGAAACCGGAGCUAAUACCGGAUAAUAUUUAGAACCGCAUGGUUCGAUAGUGAAAGAUGGUUUUGCUAUCACUUAUAGAUGGACCCGCGCCGUAUUAGCUAGUUGGUAAGGUAACGGCUUACCAAGGCGACGAUACGUAGCCGACCUGAGAGGGUGAUCGGCCACACUGGAACUGAGACACGGUCCAGACUCCUACGGGAGGCAGCAGUC
rnacentral:rRNA from 1 species